rnacentral:rRNA from 1 species
UACGUAGGGUGCGAGCGUUGUCCGGAAUUAUUGGGCGUAAAGGGCUCGUAGGCGGUUUGUCGCGUCGGGAGUGAAAACCUCGGGCUUAACUCGGGGCUUGCUUUCGAUACGGGCAGACUGGAGGUAUGCAGGGGAGAACGGAAUUCCUGGUGUAGCGGUGAAAUUCGUAGAUAUCGGGAGGAACACCAGUGGCGAAGGCGGCGACCUGGGCCAAUACUGACGCUGAGGUGCGAAAGCGUGGGGAGCAAACAGG